rnacentral:antisense_RNA from 1 species
UGCAGUUCAGGACGGGAGAGGGACACCCUCGGGUGUGCUAGUCUGAGUUCAUGCUAGUCUGUCAACCUUCUUCCGUUCUGCCACC